rnacentral:rRNA from 1 species
UACGGGGGGAGCAAGCGUUGUUCGGAUUUACUGGGCGUAAAGGGCGCGUAGGCGGUCAGCACAAGUCAGUUGUGAAAUCUCCGGGCUUAACUCGGAAAGGUCAACUGAUACUGUGCGACUAGAGUGCGGAAGGGGCAACUGGAAUUCUCGGUGUAGCGGUGAAAUGCGUAGAUAUCGAGAGGAACACCUGCGGCGAAGGCGGGUUGCUGGGCCGACACUGACGCUGAUGCGCGAAAGUGUGGGGAUCAAACAGG